UACAGAGGGUGCGAGCGUUGUCCGGAAUCACUGGGCGUAAAGGGCGCGUAGGUGGCGGGCCAAGUCUGUGGUGAAAGCUCGAUGCUCAACAUCGAGUCGGCCACGGAUACUGGUUCGCUGGAGCACUGUAGAGGCAGAUGGAAUUCCGGGUGUAGCGGUGGAAUGCGUAGAGAUCCGGAAGAACACCGGUGGCGAAGGCGGUCUGCUGGGCAGUUGCUGACACUGAGGCGCGACAGCGUGGGGAGCAAACAGGG
rnacentral:rRNA from 1 species